AUUGAACGCUGGCGGCAGGCCUAACACAUGCAAGUCGAGCGGAUGAAGGGAGCUUGCUCCUGGAUUCAGCGGCGGACGGGUGAGUAAUGCCUAGGAAUCUGCCUGGUAGUGGGGGAUAACGUCCGGAAACGGGCGCUAAUACCGCAUACGUCCUGAGGGAGAAAGUGGGGGAUCUUCGGACCUCACGCUAUCAGAUGAGCCUAGGUCGGAUUAGCUAGUUGGUGGGGUAAAGGCCUACCAAGGCGACGAUCCGUAACUGGUCUGAGAGGAUGGUCAGUCACACUGGAACUGAGACGCGGUCCAGACUCCUACGGGAGGCAGCAGUGGGGAAUAUUGGACAAUGGGCGAAAGCCUGAUCCAGCCAUGCCGCGGGUGUGAAGAAGGUCUUCGGAUUGUAAAGCACUUUAAGUUGGGAGGAAGGGCAGUAAGUUAAUACCUUGCUGUUUUGACGUUACCAACAGAAUAAGCACCGGCUAACUUCGUG
rnacentral:rRNA from 1 species